rnacentral:misc_RNA from 1 species
AAGUCGUAACAAGGUUUCCGUAGGUGAACCUGCGGAAGGAUCAUUACUGAUUUUAAAUCAUACCCUACCUUUUGUGCACAUUUUGGCCUUUCCAGCUGUGUAUCUCGCCUGAUCUUGAAUUAAAAGGGAAAAUCAUCCUCUUUGAUGGAUCAGAUGAGCUCUCGCUUUUGGGAAGUGUCCAAUAUUUAAAACUCUUGUUGUAUCUUAAUAUUUUUGUCUGAGCUUAUCUGCCAAUUCAUUUGGUAGUAAAGAAAUCUUAAAUGAAAAACAACUUUCAACAAUGGAUCUCUUGGCUCUC